AACGAACGCUGGCGGCAGGCCUAACACAUGCAAGUCGAGCGAAGCCUUCGGGCUUAGCGGCGGACGGGUGAGUAACGCGUGGGAACGUGCCCUUUGGUACGGAAUAACCACGGGAAACUGGGAGUAAUACCGCAUGUGGUCAAGAGACGAAAGAUUUAUCGCCAAAGGAUCGGCCCGCGUGAGAUUAGGUAGUUGGUGGGGUAGUGGCCUACCAAGCCUACGAUCCAUCGCUGGUUUGAGAGGAUGAUAAGCCACACUGGGACUGAGACACGGCCCAGACUCCUACGGGAGGCAGCAGUGUGGAAUCUUAGACAAUGGGGGAAACCCUGAUCUAGCCAUGCCGCGUGAUCGAUGAAGGCCUUAGGGUUGUAAAGAUCUUUCAGUGGGGAAGAUAAUGACUGUACCCACAGAAGAAGCCCCGGCUAACUCCGUGCCAGCAGCCGCCGUAA
rnacentral:rRNA from 1 species